GUCUAAGAAGUGUGCAAUGACCCUGCAAGGCACUACAGUGAACUAGAAGGAAAGGAAAGACAUUUUACUUGGGAACUGGCUUGUUGUUUUGCCUCCUAGAAUUACCAGCAUUCCUGCUCCAAUUGAGAUAUCCCUCUGCAGUACAUAAUGGGAAUACUCGCUAGCUGCAGGGGAUUCAGCAUAAUGAACUUCUUUGUGUAUGUGUCAGAGGAGGAGAAGAGGAAUGUUAAACCAUAAACUAAGAAAACACGGUUGUUAAGUGUUUUCUAGACAUUGACUUCGUGGG
rnacentral:lncRNA from 1 species